ACGGUCAUAGGUUAAUGGUAGACCGUUCGUCUUCCAAACGAUGUGCGUCGAUUCGAAUUCGACUGACCGUA
rnacentral:tRNA from 2 species